AUUGAACGCUGGCGGCAGGCCUAACACAUGCAAGUCGAACGAGUGGCGGACGGGUGAGUAAUGUCGGGGAAUCUGCCAGAUGGAGGGGGAUAACUACUGGAAACGGUAGCUAAUACCGCAUACCAUCAGAUGUGCCCAGAUGGGAUGAGCUAGUAGGUGGGGUAACGGCUCACCGAGGCGACGAUCUCUAGCGGGUCUGAGAGGAUGACCAGCAACACUGGGACGGAGACACGGGCCAGACUCGUACGUGAGGCAGCAGUGGGGAAUAUUGCACGAUGGGCGCAAGCCUGAUGCAGCCAUGCGGCGUGUAUGAAGAAGGCCUUAGGGUUGUAAAGUACUUUCAGCGGGGAGGCGUUACCCGCAGAAGAAGCACCGGCUAACUCCGUGCCAGCCGCCGCGGUAAUAC
rnacentral:rRNA from 1 species